rnacentral:misc_RNA from 1 species
GAGGGUGUAUACUAGUGACGCUCUCCAGCACAUACACGACGACUCCUGUGGAAUGUGGGUGUAGAAGCGGGUGUAUAUUGGGGCAGUGUUUCGUGUCGUGGAGCCAGUGUUGUGCUGGACGUCGUGCGGGGAGGGUGUAUACUAGUGACGCUCUCCAGCACAUACACGACGACUCCUGUGGAAUGUGGGUGUAGAAGCGGGUGUAUAUUGGGGCAGUGUUUCGUGUCGUGGAGCCAGUGUUGCGCUGGACGCCGUGCGGGGAGGGUAUAUACUAGUGACGCUCUCCAGCACAUACAGACAUACACGACGACUCCUGUGGAAUGUGGGUGUAGAAGCGGGUGUAUAUUAGAGCAGUGUUUCGUGUCGUGGAGCCAGUGUCGCGCUGGACGCCGUGUGGGGAGGACGUCUGCCGGUGGCGCUCUCCACCACACACACAUACAAGCCCGUUGUAAUACCCGCGUUGACGACCGUUGUGGUGAUGAAUAUUCCUGUUGGAUAACGACGUGCAGAUGAGGCACUGGAUCCAGCAGAAAGGGGAGCGUGGAUCGUGCAGAACACCAUGAACACCCGUCAACUCAAGCUUAUUGCUGACCGUCAAUCGGACAAGCGGAUUGACCGUCAACACGAACGUCGUCAACAUGAACCUCAACAGGAUCGUCAACACGAACGUCGUCAACAUGAACCUCAACAGGAUCGUCAACACGAACGCCUCAAGGAUCGCCAGCACGAACGGCUACAGGACCAUCCACACGACCGUCAACAAGAGCUUCAGCAUGAACGUCAUCCCGAGCACCGUAAGGAUCGUCAGCUCGAACGUGAACGGGAUCAUCAGCGGGAGCGUGAACCCGACCUUCAGUAUGAGCAUCAAAAGGACCGUCAACAGGAACGGCCGCACGAGCGCCAACAGGAACGGCCGCACGAGCGCCAACAGGAACGCCCGCAUGAGCGUCAACAGGAACGCUCGCAUGAGCGUCAGCAGGAACGCUUGCCAGAGCGUCAACAGGAACGGCCGCACGAGCGCCAACAGGAACGCCCGCAUGAGCGUCAACAGGAACGCUCGCAUGAGCGUCAACAGGAACGCUCGCAUGAGCGCCAACAGGAACGGUUGCCAGAGCGCCAACAGGAACGGUUGCCAGAGCGCCAACAGGAACGGUUGCCAGAGCGCCAACAGGAACGCUUGCCAGAGCGCCAACAGGAACGGUUGCCAGAGCGCCAACAGGAACGCUUGCCAGAGCGCCAACAGGAACGGUUGCCAGAGCGCCAACAGGAACGCUUGCCAGAGCGCCAACAGGAACGCUUGCCAGAGCGCCAACAGGAACGGUUGCCAGAGCGCCAACAGGAACGCUUGCCAGAGCGCCAACAGGAACGCCUGGAGGAGGCAGCAACAGCACCACAGGUGUUGAAGGCGUCGGGGGCGCCGGUGGUGGUAAUAACAGGCGGACACCGCGUCCUCCGGCGGUCGGCGUCGUCCCUGGCGGCGUCCCUGGCCUGCGGGGGGGUGGCGUCGGUGGCAGGGGGGCGCGGAGGGGCCAGAAAUAGCGCCAAAAUCGUGAAAGUGAGCGCGAGUUACCUGGAUAGCAAAAGAAGGUCGCGGGCCCGCCAGACCUUCCCGCUGCCCGGGCGCGCGCCGCUGACAGUGACGUCACAGGCUGAUGGCGGGCGGGUGGCGGCGGGCAGCGUCAGUGCCGCCGUGAGCGCCGCCGAGCUGGCCGCCGCCACCGACCCUGGCGGCAGGGCUCACAAGUACAGCAGGAGCGUCACCAGUCUGGCGUCAGUGGCGCGGGGAGCGGAGCCGGAGGGACACCAUAAGUCCCAUCAGAGGCGGCGCCACUCCCGCCACUCAGAAAAGAGCCACAAGUACGUGGCGGGUGGCACCCUGCCGCGCCAACGCCACCCCGCCGCCCACGGCCGCCCACUGUGGCGCCCCGUGCUUCCAGCCCCGCCGCCUGACCCCGUCAAGCCCAAUAUGUCGGGGAAAACUCCUUGUUGCUGCUGCUGCCCGGCCAUCAGGGCCGCCUCGCCCGCCUCUCUCAUCCUCCUCCCGCUCCAUCUUCUUCUCCUGGCCGUCCUCGUCGGCUACCUGGUCCUCGGGGCCUUCAUCUUCUCAAAGGUGGAGGGGCCUGAUGGGCUGAGAGGGUCGGCCGUGUUAGUGAGCCGGACCACAGUCACUCUACCAGGGACCCCGAAGGACCCGGACAUGGCCGCCGCCCGCCUCGAGGUAGUAGAGCGCCUCCUCAACUCUUCCCUCAACAUCGUCCUCUACAGGAGCCCAGAGCUCUUCAUCGCCGCCAUCUCCACCUCGCCCAGACUGCGGGGCGCGCUCUUUACUUUACAGAAGGAGGGAGGGUGGCGGCUGCCCACAGACAGAGAGCUCAACAUGCUCAGUCGUUCAGUGAUGACGGAGUGGCAACAGCAGCUUCACGACAUUACUGCUCGGUACUACACCUUGGUCACCCGUCACGCCCACGGCUUCCAGGUUGGGUCUGAAGAGCGGGCGGAGGUGUGGGAGAGUGAGGAGCCGCCGCCCCUGCUCCCCUGGAGCCUGUGGCCCUCCCUCCUUCACGUCUUCUGCCUGGUCACCACCAUCGGCACCAGCGUGCAGGCCCACUCGCCGGCGGGGAGGGCCUCGGCUCUCGUCUACACUCUGGUGGGCGUGGUCCUGUAUGUGGGGGUUGUGGUCGUGUGGGCAGCCAGGCUCGGCGCGACCUACGCUCUCCUCGUCAACAUGUGUACAAAGAAUAAGAUCUCCUCAUCAGGAGGGAAGCUGCGAGCAUCUCCGUACCACAGCAUGGGGGGACCGCCCCAGGAACCUGCACCCCCUCCCCAGACGACACCAGUCAGACUCGUCCUCCUCACUACAGUCAUUAUGGUUACACCUGUGUGUCAGGUAUGUGCUGAGCGCUGGGGUGCACGUGGUGGGGGGCCGUGACUACUGGACCGGGGUGGAGAAUGCCAUAUUCGUCCUGUUAACAGUCAGACCACCCACACCUCUCCCUCAGGGAGCAACAACAGUGACAAGUUUCAUAGCAUUUGUGAUGGUGGGCCACAUCUUGCUGGCUCUCUUCACCUUCGUUCUCAAG